rnacentral:sRNA from 1 species
CUACGGACUUAAUUGGAUUGAGCCUUGGUACGGAAAUUUACUAAGUGAUAACUUUCAAAUUCAGAGAAACCCUGGAAUCAAUAAAAAUGGGCAAUCCUGAGCCAAAUCAUGUUUUCCGAAAACAAACAAAGGUUCAGAAAGCGAAAAUAAAAAAGGAUAGGUGCAGAUAAUACUCAACAAAAAAUCCGACCUGCCGGAUUCGAACCAGCGACCUAAGGAUUUCAGCAAUUUACAACUACAGUCCUCCGCUCUACCAACUGAGCUAAGGUCGGCUUGUUCCUUUUUGCCAAUAAACAACUUUUAUCAUGUAUAACAUAGCUUUUUUCCUUUUUUUUUUUCCUAAUGCAACUUAGUUCAAGCAUUGG